rnacentral:rRNA from 1 species
UACGUAGGUGGCAAGCGUUGUCCGGAAUUAUUGGGCGUAAAGCGCGCGCAGGCGGUCCUUUAAGUCUGAUGUGAAAGCCCUCGGCUCAACCGUGGAGGGUCAUUGGAAACUGGGGGACUUGAGUGCAGGAGAGGAGAGUGGAAUUCCUGGUGUAGCGGUGAAAUGCGCAGAUAUCAGGAAGAACACCAAUGGCGAAGGCAGCUCUCUGGGACGGUACUGACGCUGAGACGCGAAAGCGUGGGGAGCGAACAGG